rnacentral:rRNA from 1 species
UACGGAAGGUCCGGGCGUUAUCCGGAAUUAUUGGGUUUAAAGGGAGCGCAGGCGGGAGUGUAAGUCAGCUGUUAAAUAUCAGGGCCCAACUCUGUUAUGCAGUUGAAACUAUAUUUCUUGAGUACGCACAGGGAUGGCGGAAUUCAGGGUGUAGCGGUGAAAUGCUUAGAUAUCCUGAAGAACUCCGAUCGCGAAGGCAGCCAUCCGGAGCGUAACUGACGCUGAGGCUCGAAGGUGCGGGUAUCGAACAGG